rnacentral:rRNA from 1 species
GCGCGUACGAGGAUCUAGCUGUCUGGCUCCAUUGGUGAGCUGGGUGGCCAAGCGAAAGUGAUAAGUAUCCCACCUGGGGAGUACGUUCGCAAGAAUGAAACUCAAAGGAAUUGACGGGGGCCCGCACAAGCGGUGGAGCAUGUGGUUUAAUUCGAUGAUACGCGAGGAACCUUACCAGGGCUUAAAUGUAGUCUGACAGGAUUGGAAACAGUCUUUUCUUCGGACAGAUUACAAGGUGCUGCAUGGUUGUCGUCAGCUCGUGCCGUGAGGUGUCAGGUUAAGUCCUAUAACGAGCGCAACCCCUGUUGUUAGUUGCCAGCGAGUCAAGUCGGGAACUCUAACAAGACUGCCGGUGCAAACCGUGAGGAAGGUGGGGAUGACGUCAAAUCAUCACGGCCCUUACGUCCUGGGCCACACACGUGCUACAAUGGCAGGUACAAUGGGCAGCCACUACGCAAGUAGGAGCGAAUCCACAAAACCUGUCUCAGUUCGGAUCGGGGUCUGCAACUCGACCCCGUGAAGCUGGAAUCGCUAGUAAUCGGAUAUCAGCCAUGAUCCGGUGAAUACGUUCCCGGGCCUUGUACACACCGCCCGUCAAGCCAUGGAAGCUGGAAGCACCUGAAGUCCGUCACCGCAAGGAGCGGCCUAGGGUGAAGCUGGUAACUGGGGCUAAGUCGUAACAAGGUA